CAAGCAAUGCCACUUCAGCUGGAUGCAGUGUAGCUGCAGUGGUUUCAGAGCUCGCUGCCAUGUCCCUGAAUGUGGAAGUUGUGCUUAUACAGUGUCUGCAGUGUGACUCAAGGUGAUGCAGUAUGUUGUGAAGUAGGAUUCAAAGCCCAUGAGGGACGAUGCUGUGAUCCGGCAAUCAUUGCAGUUCACCUGCUGUGCCACUUCAUCUGGAUGCAGUGUCCCUGCAUUGCUUGCAGAGCACCCUGCUGUGUCCCUGAAUGUGGAUGCGGUGAACAUGCAGUGGAUGCAGUGAUCCUGCAGUGAUGGCAGUGCACAUGCAUUUCCUCAACAGCUGGAAGCAGUUUUGCUGCCGUGGUUGCAGUUCCACCUUCUGUGUCCCUGAAAGUGAAGGCAGUGCUCAUGUAGUGGAGGCAGUGUACCUAAAGGUUUAUGCAGUAUGUUGUGACGGAGGAUGCAGUGCACAAGAAGGCGGAUGCAGUGUCCCUGCAGUGGUUGCAUGGCCCCAGCAUUGUGCUGGAAUGUGGAUGGAGGGGUCAUAUAGUGGCUGCAGUGUAUCACAAGGCAGAGGCAGUAUGUUUUGUCGGAUGAUGCUAUGCCCAUGGAGGUGGAUUCGGUCAAUCUGCAGUGGUUGCAGUGCCCCCUACAGUUUCCCUGAAUGUGGAUGCAGUGCCCAUGCAGUGCAUGCAGUGUCCCACAAGGUGGAUGCAGUAUGUUGUGACGGAGGAUGCAGUGCCCACGAAGGUGGAUGCAGUGAUCCUGCAGUGGUUGCAGUGCCCCCUGCAGUUUACCUGAAUGUGGAUGCAGUGCUCAUGCAGUGGAUGCAGUGUCCCUCAAGGUGGAUGACUUAUGAUGUGUUGUAGGAUUCAGUGAUCAUGAAGGAUUAUGCAGUGAUCCUGCUGUCAUUGCAGUGAACUUGCAGUGCCACUUCAGCUGGUGGCAGUGUCCCUGAAGUGGUUUCCCUGCCUUGUUCUGUGUCCCUGAAUGUGUAUGCAGUGCCCAUGCAGUGGAUGCAGAGUACCAACAGUUGGUUGUCGUAUGUUGUGACAGAGGAUGAAGAGCCCUGGAGUUCAAUGCAGUCAGCCGGCAGUGAUUGCCGUACUCCUUCCGUGGCAAUUCAGCUGGAUGCAGUGUCACUGCAGUGGUUGCAAUGCCCCCUGCCUUGUCCUGGAAUGUGGAUGAAGUGCUCAUGCAGUGGAUGCAGUGUCCCACAAUGUGGAGGCAUUGUGGUGUGUUGUAGCAUCCAAUGCCGAUAAAGGUGAAUGCAGUGAUCCUGCAGUGAUGUCAGUGCACCUGCAGUGCCACUUCACGUGGAUGCAGUGUCCAUGCAGUGGUUGCAGUGCCCCCUGCAUUGUCCUGAAAUGUGGAUGCAGUGCACAGGCAGUGGAUGCAGUGUCCCACUAGGUGGAUGCAGUAUGUUAUGACGGAUGAUGCAGUUCUCAUGAAGGUGGAUGCAGUGUCCCUGCAGUGCUUGCAGUGCCCCCUGCAUUGUCCAGUAAUGUUAAUGCAGUAGUCAUACAGUGGAUGCGUUGUCCCACAAGGUGGAUGCACUAUGUUGUGAUGGAGGGUGCAGUGCCUGUGAGGGUGGAUGCAGUGAUCUGGCAGUGGUUGCAGUGCACCCUGCUGUGUCCAUGAAUGUGCAUGCUCUGAACAUGCAGUGGAUGCAGUGAUCAUGCAGUGAUUUCAGUAUUACUGCAUUUCCACAUCAGCUGGAAGCAGUGUCCCUGCAGGGGUUGCAGUGCCACCUUCUGUGUAGCUGAAUGUGAAUGCAGUGCCCAUGCAGUGAAUGCAGUGUACCUAAGGGUUUAUGCAGUAUGUUGUGACGGAGUAUGCAGUGCACAUGAAGGGGGAUACAGUGUACCUCCAGUAGUUGCAGUGCCCCUGACAUUGUCCUGAAAUGUUGAUGCAGUGCCUAUGCAGUGGAUGCAGUGAAUCUUCAGUGAUUGCAGUGCACCUCCAGUACCACUUCCGCUGGAUGCAGUGUAGCUGCAUAGGUUGCUGAGCCCCUGCCAUGUCCCUGAAUGUGGAUGCUGUGCCCAUGCAGUGUCUGCAGUGUGACUCAAGGUGGAUGCAGUAUGUUGUGAAGCAGGAUUCAGUGCCCAUGAGGACAAUGCAGUGAUUCUACAGUCAUUGCAGUUCACUUCAGUUCAUUUCAUCUGGAUUCAGUGUUCCUGUAGUGGUUGCAGUGCACCCUGCUGUGUCCCUGAAUGUGCAUGCUGUGAACAUGCAGUGGAUGCAGUGAUCCUGUAGUGAUUGCAGUGCACCUGCAUUUCUUCAUCAGCUGGAAGCAGUGUCGCUGCCGUGGUUGCAGUGCAACCUUCUGAGUCUCUGAAGGUGAAUGCAGUGCCCAUGCAGUGGAGGCAGUGUAUGUAAAGGUUUAUGCAGUAUGUUGUGACGGAGGAUGCAGUGCCCACAAAGUUGGAUGCCGUGAGCCUGUGCUUCAUCCUGUGCACCUGCAGUCUGAUUUAAGAUGGAUGCACUGUCACUGCAGUGGUUGCAGUGCGCAAUGCAUUGUCAGAGAAGGUGGAUGCAGUGCCCAGGCAGUGUCUGCAGUGUGACUCAAGGUGGACACAGUAUGUUGUGAAGCAGGAUUCAGUGCCCAUGAAGGACGAUGCAGUGAUCCUGCAGUCAUUGCAGUUCACCUCAGUCCACUUCAUCUGUAUUCAGUGUUCCUGUAGUGGUUGAAGUGCACCCUGCUGUGUCUCUGAAUGUGGAUGCUGUAAACAUGCCAUGGAUGCAGAGAUCCUGCAGUGAUUGCAUUGCACAUGCAUUUCCACAUCAGCUAGAUGCAGUGUCCCUCAGGGGUUGCAAUGCCAUCUUCAGUGUCCCUGAAGGUGACUGCAGUGCCCAUGCAGUGGAUGCAGUGUCCCUGCAGUGGGUUCAAUGCCCCUUGCAUUGUCCUGGAAUGUGGAUGCAGUGCUCAUGCAGUGGAUGCAGAGUCCCACAAUGUGAAGGCAUUGUGGUGUGUGUAGUAUGUAGUGCCGAUUAAUGUGAAUGCAGUGAUCCUGAAGUGAUGGCAGUGCUUCUGCAGUGCCACUUCAGCUGAAUAUAGUGUUGCUGCAGUGAUUGCAGUACCCCCCGCAUUGUCCGGAAAUGUGGAUACAGGAGUCAUGCAGUGGAUGCAGAGUCCCACAACUUGGAUGCAAUAGGUUGUGAAGGAGGAUGCAGGGCCCAUGAUGGUGGAUGCAGUUAUGCUGCACUGGUUGCAGUGCCUCUUAGAGUUCCCUGAAUGUGGAUGCAGUGCCCAUGCAGUAGUUGCUGUGUCCCACAAGGUGGAUGUCGUAGGUUGUGAUGGAAGAUGCAAUGUUUACGAAUGUGGAUGCAGGGAUCCCUCAGUGGUUGCGGUGCACCCUGCUUUGGGCCUGAAUGUGGAUGCUGUGAACAUGCAGUGGAUGCAGUGAUCCUGCAGUGGUUGGAGUGCACCUGCAUUUCCACAUCAGCUGGAAGCAGUGUCCCUGUAGGGGUUGCAGUGAUGCCUUCUGUGUCCCUAAAGGUGAAUGCAUUUCCCAUGCUGUGGAUGCAGUUUACCUAAAGGUUUAUGCAGUAUGUUGUGACGGAGGAUGCAGUGCCCAUCAACGUGGAUGCAGUCUCCCUGCACUGGUUUCAGUGCCCUGGCAUUGUCCUAGAAUGUGGAUGCAGGAGUCAUGCAGUGGAUGCAGUUUCUCAAAAGGUGGAUGCAGUACGCUUUCUCGCAGGAUGAAGUGCCCAUGAAGGUGGAUGCUGUGAACCUGCAGUUGUUGCCGUGCCCCCUACAGUUUCGCUGAAAGUGGUUGCAGUGCCCAUGCAAUGGGUGAAGUGUCACUGAAGGUACAAACAGUAUGUUCUGAUGGAUGAUGCAUUGCCCAUGAAGGUGCAUGCAGUGUUCCUGCACUGGUUGUCAUGCCCCCUUCUGUGUCACUGAUGGUGGAUGCAGUGCCCAUGAAGUGGAUGCAGUGUCCCACAAGGCUGAUUCAGUAUGUUUUAAUGGAGGAUGCAGUGCCCAUGAAGGUGGAUGCGGUGAUCCUGCAGUUGUUGCAGUGCCCCUUCAGGUUCCCUGAAUGUGGAUGCAGUGCCCAUGCAGUGGAUGCAGUGUUGCACAAGGUGGAUGCAGUAUGUUGUGACGGAAGAUGCAGUGCCCACGACUGUGAAUGCAGUGAGACUGCAGUGAUUGAAGUGCGCCUGCAGUGCCACUUCAACUCUAUACAGUGUCUGUGCAGUGGUUGAAGUGCCUGUUGCCCUGUGGCUGAACGUGGCUGCAGUUCCCAUGCAAUGGCUGCAGUGUCACUCAAGGUAGAUGCAGUAUGUUGUGACAGAGGAUGCAAUGCCCAUGAAGGUGGAUGCGGUGAUCCUGCAGUGGUUUCCGUGCACACUGCAGUGUCCCUGAAUGUGGAUGCAGUGAACAUGAAGUGGAUGCAGUGAACAUUCAGUUAUCGCGGUGCACCUGCAGUUCCACUUCAGCUGCAUACACUGUCCCUGCAGUCGUUGCGGUGCUGCCUGCAUUGUCUGGGAAUGUGGAUGCAGUGCCCCGGCAGUGUAUGCAGUGUCACAGAAGUUGGAUGCAGUAUGUUGUGACAUAGGAUGCAGUGCCCAUGAAGGUGGAUGCAGUGAUCCUUCACUGGUUUCCAUGUACACCGCAGUGUCCCUGAAUGUGGAUGCAGUGAACAAGCAGUGGAUGCACUGAACUUUCAGUGAUUGCAGUGCACCUGCAGUGCCACUUCAGCUGAAUGCAGUGUUGCUGCAGUGUUUGCAGAGCCCACUGCAGUGUCUCUGAAUGUGGAUGCAGGGCCCACGCAGCCUCUGCAGUGUGACCCAAGGUGGAUGCAGUAUGCUGUGAAGUAGGAUGCAGGACCCCUGAAGGAGGAUGCAGUGAUCCUGCAUUCAUUGCAGUGCAUCUGCACUGUCAAUGCAUCUGAAUGCAGUGUCCCUAAUAUGGAUUCAGUGCUCAUGCAGUGAUGAUGAAUGUUGUGAUGGAGGAUGCAGUGCCCAUGAAGGCAGAUGCAGUGAUCAUUCG
rnacentral:lncRNA from 1 species